AUCUACAUCCGGGUCCCCGGAAAUUGUCUCAUCUGCAAGAAUGUCGCAGUCGAAGCUUUCGGCGUUUGGCUUCACGGCAAAUUUCAUACCCCCAAAAUUUGUGUUUUACCCCCAGUUUUUGUACCCAGGGGUUUUGGCGCAGACAGUGUUUGGUGAGACUGGCAAAAAUGACUGAUGAAUAAAACUACAACAACACCAGUUAAGCAACAUCAGAUCAGCUAACUCGGACGCUGAACUACCAGUAGCUGCUGGAAAUGUGGGACAGAGUUAGCAUUGAAUAACUUCCAGCUGGAACUUUCUGGAGUUCAUUUGAACUACAUCUGUACAGUCAACACUAUAAUUCAGAUCUGUCGUAGGGUUCAUGGAGGUCAUAGCCAACAUAAUACAGAUGCCCCUGUUCCAAGAUUCAUUCCUGCAAACCAUUGGACCAAACUGAUGGAUAAAGUAUCGGCUAAUUCAUUUGUGUCCCUUGCUUGAAGCUGCUUUCCAUGGAAUUUUUGCACGAAGUCAUUGGUUGUCAACGUGGCACGAAGAUGGAAUGCACUGAUCAGACCAAGUUUCUCACUGUUUCCUGGCAGCCAAUGGAAGAGCUGAGAAUACCAGUGGGAGUAAAGUGUUGAAUGUUCCACAAAAUAGCACAGAUUCCAAGCAUUGUUUCUCUCUGGUCAGAAAAAAAAUCAGAGAAAUAACUUAUCAAUGAUAUAUUCCUGUCUGUUAGUAAUAAUUGAUCGCAGACUGAAUGUUACCAUGGGUCUACUGGCAAGCUGGAAAGAUACAAAGAUAAAUAUGAUUUAUUAAACUUAUUGAACAUGACGUUAGAGAAUAUUCAGUUGUGAAAGUGAAAUAGGCAUUAAAAAUUUUAAGAUCAAGUGUAAAUUUGAUGGUUCAUGAUUGACAUUAACUCUUACUGAAUGUAACAUUAAAGGAUGUUCAAGUGUGACAGUGAAAUAGACAAACAUUAAAGAUCAAGUUGUGGUUUAAGAUAAAAUACUGAAAAGAUCAACACCAGGAUGUUCACAAUAAUGUUACAAUUUAUUUUAUGGCAUUUAGAACCUUAGCAUUAAUAUAAAUUUUGAUAUUGUACUUACCAACUUUAUCUUUGCUUCAUCACGCUCACAUGAGACAUUGUAAUUGACAAGAUCCUUGUUAGUUAGCUUUCAGUGUCUUCUAACAACUUUGGCAUAAACACUGCUGUAACAUCAGUUUAGUUGAUCAAUGGUCAAUGGCAAAAUAACACCAGUUGGCUCAUUUUCGACUCUGUAUGUACGCUCAAAACCAAGGCAGUCUUUGUAUUAAAAUUUGAAGUGUU